ensembl:lncRNA
GUGGUUGCUAUUGUGUUUUGUCUGGUUUCUAAGGCAUCGCUAGGCAGUUGCUGUGGUGUUCUGACAUUGAUAGGUGGUUGCUAGAGUGUUUUGUCUGGUUUCUAAGGCAUCGCUAGGCAGUUGCUUUGGUGUUCUGACAUUGCUAGGUGGUUGCUAUUGUGUUUUAGCUGGUUUCUAAGGCAUCGCUAGGCAGUUGCUGUGGUGUUUUGACAUUGCUAGGUGGUUGCUAGAGUGUUUUGUCUGGUUUCUAAGGCGUCGCUAGGCAGUUGCUUUGGUGUUCUGACAUUGCUAGGUGGUUGCUAGAGUGUUUUGUCUGGUUUCUAAGGCAUCGCUAGGCAGUUUCUGUGGUGUUCUGGCAUUGCUAGGUGGUUGCUAGAGUGUUUUGACUGGUUUCUAAGGCGUCACUAGGCAGUUGCUGUGGUGUUCUGGCAUUGCUAGGUGGUUG